AUCAACUUUCGAUGGUAGGAUAGAGGCCUACCAUGGUGGUAACGGGUAACGGGGUGUUAGGGCACGACACCGGAGAGGGAGCCUGAGAAACGGCUACCACAUCCAAGGAUGGCAGCAGGCGCGCAAAUUACCCAAUCCCGACACGGGGAGGUAGUGACAAUAAAUAACAAUACGGGGUUCUUUCGGAUCUCGUAAUUGGAAUGAGUACAAUUUAAAUCUCUUAACGAGGAACAAUUGGAGGGCAAGUCUGGUGCCAGCAGCCGCGGUAAUUCCAGCUCCAAUAGCGUAUAUUAAAGUUGUUGCAGUUAAAAAGCUCGUAGUUGAAUUUCGGGGUCAGCAAGUUGGUCGUGCCACCGGUAUGCACUGGCUUUACUGAUUCCUCCUUCUUGAAGAACCUUAAUGCCAUUAACUUGGUGUUGUGGGGAAACAGGACUGUUACUUUGAAAAAAUUAGAGUGUUUAAAGCAAGCUAACGCUUGAAUACAUUAGCAUGGAAUAAUGAAAUAGGACGAUYGAUCCUAUUUUGUUGGUUUCUAGGAUUGACGUAAUGAUUAAUAGGGAUAGUUGGGGGCAUUAGUAUUCAAUUGUCAGAGGUGAAAUUCUUGGAUUUAUUGAAGACUAACUACUGCGAAAGCAUUUGCCAAGGAUGUUUUCAUUAAUCAAGAACGAAAGUUAGGGGAUCGAAGACGAUCAGAUACCGUCGUAGUCUUAACCAUAAACUAUGCCGACUAGGGAU
rnacentral:sRNA from 1 species